rnacentral:rRNA from 1 species
GACGAACGCUGGCGGCGUGCCUAAUACAUGCAAGUCGAGCGAAGUUUUUCUGGUGCUUGCACUAGAAAAACUUAGCGGCGAACGGGUGAGUAACACGUAAAGAACCUGCCUCAUAGACUGGGACAACUAUUGGAAACGAUAGCUAAUACCGGAUAACAGUAUUUCUCGCAUGAGAGAUAUUUAAAAGUUGGUUAUGCUAACACUAUGAGAUGGCUUUGCGGUGCAUUAGCUAGUUGGUGGGGUAAAGGCCCACCAAGGCAACGAUGCAUAGCCGACCUGAGAGGGUGAUCGGCCACACUGGGACUGAGACACGGCCCAGACUCCUACGGGAGGCAGCAGUAGGGAAUCUUCCGCAAUGGGCGAAAGCCUGACGGAGCAACGCCGCGUGAGUGAAGAAGGAUUUCGGUUCGUAAAGCUCUGUUGUUAGGGAAGAAUGGAUAUGUAGUAACUAUACAUGUAAGAGACGGUACCUAACCAGAAAGCCACGGCUAACUACGUG